GCUGACGAGUGGCGGACGGUGAGUAAUGUCUGGGAAACUGCCUGAUGGAGGGGGAUAACUACUGGAAACGGUAGCUAAUACCGCAUAACGUCGCAAGACCAAGAGGGGGACCUUCGGGCCUCUUGCCAUCGGAUGUGCCCAGAUGGGAGUUAGCUAGUAGGUGGGGUAACGGCUCACCUAGGCGACGAUCCCUAGCUGGUCUGAGAGGAUGACCAGCCACACUGGAACUGAGACACGGUCCAGACUCCUACGGGAGGCAGCAGUGGGGAAUAUUGCACAAUGGGCGCAAGCCUGAUGCAGCCAUGCCGCGUGUAUGAAGAAGGCCUUCGGGUUGUAAAGUACUUUCAGCGGGGAGGAAGGGAGUAAAGUUAAUACCUUUGCUCAUUGACGUUACCCGCAGAAGAAGCACCGGCUAACUCCGUG
rnacentral:rRNA from 1 species